rnacentral:lncRNA from 1 species
CCACGUAGAGGGCAAAGGCCACCAGGAAGAACUGGACUGUGGGUCGCAGCAGCCGUGCCCACUUCCAACAGAGUCGUGCCUGCACAUACAGCUGGAGUGGGGAGAGGACGUGUUAGCCUGUGCACCUGCCAGGCGCUCCCCCUCCCCCUGCACAGACGUGUUAGCCUGUGCACCUGCCAGGCGCUCCCCCUCCCCCUGCACAGACGUGUUAGCCUGUGCACCUGCCAGGCGCUCCCCCUCCCCCUGCACAGACGUGUUAGCCUUGCGCCUGCCAGGCGCUCCCCCUCCCCCUGCACAGACGUGUUAGCCUGUGCACCUGCCAGGCGCUCCCCCUCCCCCUGCACAGAUGGCAGCACUGAGGCCGGAGGCAAACACUGGUCAGCCCAGGGCCUCCCGUUUUUAUAAACAAAUCAGUUAGCCCCCCUCACCACCACUACCCACCCAUUUUACAGCUGGAAAAACUGAGGUCCAGGGAAGGGAGUGAUUUAGCCAUGGUUCCCCCGAAAAGCAAGCCCGGGAGAAACAGACUCACCGCCAAGAACACCAUGCAGUACAUCCCAAAGGAAGAGUGUCCCGAGUAGAAAGACAACCUGAGGAAGGAGAAGGGGCAGGUGGCUCACUCAGCGCCUUCCAACCUCCCCCUUGUCCCCGCCCCGCCCACAGAAGGGAGGGCUCGACACGGAGGCUGCUGCUGUUAGAUGCACUCAAAUCCCAGUAGCAGAAACUGUUCCCCUUUUCUGUUCCAGUCAUCUGAUAAUGGAAUAAGAGUCUCUGACUGGGGCUGUGGCAUGAGAUGCCUCAUCCGUGAAGACUCUGAGGCCUGAACCCAAAACCCAGGGCAGACAAUCAUGUCUGGCAAGCAGGCAACACCACAGUUUCAUUUUCACCAUGUUUCUUUUCAGGAUUUUCUCCCAUCUGCGGAACUGAGGGAAGACUUAUUUUUAUAUAAAUUCAAGAUUCGGUGAAGGACAUCAAGAAAAUAGCAGAGCAAGAAACUUCAAAAGCAAUUUUUAAAAAUGGCAAAAAAGUCACAAUCAACUUUUUUGGAACUACUCAAAAGCUUGCAGCCACCAGAAGACUUAUCAAGAUAAACCAGCUGAAUCUCAGAACAAACGGCCUUGUCGCAUUUUAACUCAUCCUGGUCCCUCUCCCACUGCCUAGACUGGUGGUGGCCUGAGGAUUCCAAGAACAGACUUUAUUUGCAACUGUGGACGGGAGUAUGGCUCAAGGGCUGGCCUUGAUCUCACCUGACUGGACAUUCUCCCAGUGCUGAGGUGCUACCUGGGGGAUAUUUGUAGGAAACAUUCACAACAAAUUUAUUAUUCUCUGCUGCCUGGGGCCACAGACAGCAGAUGAGGCAAACAACAGACUAACCAAACAGGCCAGGGAAUAAAAUGCUCUGGGCGAUGGGGGCCUGGAACGCAGACAGAGCUGUGCAGGAGCUCAGGAGAGGCCUGCGAGGGCCGAAGCUAAGCUCUCACGUCUGGCCGCCUUCAGGCUCCGCACACACAGGAAGCAAAAGCUAAGGCAGAGUUGAAAAUGUGUUUAACCGCGGAAGGGCUGACCCCACAUGCACACAGACCCUUCUACAAACUCUGGGAGGGUUUUAUGGGUUUUUUUGAUUCCAGAUGUUUAAGGAAAUCUCUGUCCUAUCACUGACCACUGGGCUAAAAGAAUAGGAAGAAACGGCCAUACGUGACAAAAAAUACAGACUUUACAACCAGAAAAGUCAUUAAACAAAUAACUACUGCAACAAACAGCAAGAACAAACCCGGGAGAGGGCGUAGGAUCAUAUUUCCAGAGUUGCUACAUUAUAAUAUUCUAAACACCCAGUUUAAAACAAAGCAAAACAGGCCGGGGGUGCGGUGGCUCACUCCUGUAAUCCCAGGACUUUGGGAGGCCGAGGCAGGCGGAUCACGAGGUCAAGAGACCGAGACCAUCCUGGCCCACACGGUGAAACGCCGUCUGUACCAAAAAUACAAAAAUUAGCUGGGUGUGGUAGCACAUGCCUGUAGUCCCAGCUACUUGGGAGGCUGAGGCAGGAGAUUUGCUUGAACUUGGGAGGUGGAGGUUGCAGUGAGCCGAGAUCGCCACUGCACUCCAACCUGGCAAUAGGGUGAGACUCUGUCUCAAAAAAAAAAAAAAAAUUACAAGGCAUGUAGAAAAACACAGGUGUGGCCAAUACACAGGGAAAAAAAUGUAAUAAUAGAAAUUGUCCCUCAGGACACCCAGAUGUUGGACUUACUAGACACUUUCUAAGAGAGGGCCUGACUUGAACUUCUGGGCUCCAGCGAUCCUCCUGCCUCACCCUCCCAAAUAGCUGUGACAACAGUUGUGUGCCACCAAGCCUGGGUUCUAGACAAACACUUUUAGUUAGCCAUUUAAAAUAUGUUCAAAGAAAAAAGUAAAAAUAAAUAAAUACUAUGUUCAAAGAGCCAAAGGAAUAUGAGAACAAUGUCUCACCAAACAGAGAAUAUCAAUAAAGAGAAAGAAGUUAUAAAAAGGAACCAAAUAAAGAUUUGGUUAUCUGAAAUGAAAAAUCACUUGAGGGAGGCUCAAUAGCAGGUCUGAGGAAGCAGAAGAAAAAAGACAAUGAACUUGAAAAUAGGUCAAUUGGCCGGGCACAGCGGCUCACACCUGUCAUCCCAGCACUUUGGGAGGCAGAGACGGGCAGAUCACAAAGGUCGGGAGUUCGAGACCAGCCUGGCCAACAUGGCGAAACCCCGUCUCUACUAAAAAUACAAAAAUUAGCUGGGCGCAGAGGCACACGCCUGUAAUCCCAGCUACUCGUGAGGCUGAGGCAGGAGAAUCGCUUGAACCCAGGAGGCAGAGGUUGCAGUGAGCUGAGAUUAUGCCACUGCACUCCAGCCUGGGAGACAGAGCAAGACUCCAACUCAAAAAAACAAAGAAAAUAGGUCAAUUAAGAUUAUUUGGCCUGGCACGGUGGCUCAGCCUGUAAUCCCAGCACUUUGGGAGGCCGAGGCGGGUGGAUCACCUGAGGUCAGGAGUUCGAGACCAGCCUAGCCAACAUGGUGAAACCCCGUCUCUACUUAAUACAAAAAAUUAGCUGGGCAUAGUGGUACACACUUGUAAUCCCAGUUACUCGGCAGGCUGAGGCAGAGAAUCUCUUGAACCCGGGAGGCAGAGGUUACAGUGAGCCGAGAUCGUGCCACUGCUCUCCAGCCUGGGGGACAAGAGAGAGACUUCGUUUCAAAGAAAAAAAAAAAGAUUAUUCGGCUGGGGCCAGGUGUGGUGGCUCACGCCUGCUACUCAGGAGGCUGAGGCAGGAGAAUUGCUUAAACCGAGGAGGCAGAGGCUGUAGUGAGACAAGAUCACGUCACCGCACUCCAGCCUGGGCGACACAGUGAGACUCUUUCUCAAAAAAAAAAAAAAGAAAAGGAGAAAAAAAACAUUAUUCAGCCUGGCCGAAAAAAAGAAAAAAAAAAAAGAUUAUUCAGCCUGGCCAGGCAUGGUGGCUCACGCCUGUAAUCCCAGCACUUUGGGAGGCCAGGGUGGGUGGAUCACCUGAGAUCAGGAGUUCGAGACCAGCCUGGCCAACAUGAUGAAACCCCAUCUCUACUAAAAAUACAAAAAGUUAGUCGGGCGUGGUGGUGCACGCCUGUAGUCCUAGCUACUCAGGAAUCUGAGGUAGGAGAAUCGCUUGAACCCAGGAGGCAGAGGUUGCAGUGAGCCAAGAUCACACCACUGCACACUGCACUCCAGCCUGGGUGACAGAACAACAUUCUGUCUCAAAAAAUAAAAUUAAUAAAAGUAAAUGAAAAUACAAAAAUUAGCCGGGCGUGGUGGCGCACACCUGUAAUCCCAGCUACUGGGGAGGCUGAGGCAGGAGAAGCACUUGAACCCAGGAGAUGGAGGUUGCAGUGAGCCAAGAUUGCACCACCGCACUCCAGCCUGGGCCCAGACUCUGUCUCAAAAAAAAAAAAGAAAAAAAAAAAAGAUUAUUUACCCUGAACGGGCUCAGUGGCUCACACCUCUAAUCCCAGCACUUUGGGAGGCUGAGGCGAGAGGAUUGCUUGAGCCCAGGCAUUCGAGACCAGCCUGGGCAACAUGGUGAGACCCUAUUUCUACAAAAAAAUUUAAAAACCAGCUGGAUUUGGUGGUGUAUGCCCGUAGUACCAGCUACUUGGAAGGCAGAGGUGGGAGGAUGGUUUGAGCCCAGGAGUUCAAGUCCUGGGCAAGAUAGCAAGACCCCCAUCUCUAAAAGAAAAAAAAAAUUAAAAGCAAAACAAACAAACAAAAAAAGACAGUAAUGAGGAAUUGAAAAAAGAAGAUAUAACCUAAGCAAACCUCAACGAAAUGACAGAGGUCCUUCCUUAUCAGUAAUUACAUUGAAUAUAAAUAAACACUCCAAUUAAAAGUCAAAGUUUCAUUAAAUGCCUUAAUUCAAUAAAAAGAUUAAUAUAUAAUUUAAAAAACAUUAAAAAAAAAGUCAGAGAUCUGGCUGGAUGUGGUGGCAUACACCUGUAAUCCCAGCACUUUAGGAGGCCAAAGUGGGCGGAUCGCUUGAGCUCAGGAGUUCAAGACCAGCCUGGGCAAUAUGGCAAAACCCCGUUUCUACCAAAAAAAAAAUAAACAGUAGCUGGAUGUGGUGGCACGUUCCUGUAGUCCUAGCUACUCGGGAGGCUCAGGUGGGAAGAUGGCUUGAGCCUGGGAGUCCGAGGCUGCAGUGAGCUCAGAUCAUUGCACUCCAGCCUGGGUGACAGAGUGAGCCUCUGUCUCAAAAAAAAUCAGAGAUUGGACAAUACAUUAAGAAACAUGGCCCAAUUUCAUGCUAGGUAUAAGACACUUACUUUACAGUCAGAGACAUAAACAGGUUGAAAGUCCAAGAAUGGAAAAAAAAAAUAUUCCAUGCAAACAAUAACAAAAAGAGAACCAGAAUAGCUAUGUUAAUAUCAGACAAAACAGACAUCAAGACAAAAAUUGUUGAGACAAAACUCAUAUAUCUCAUUCUAUGAUGAUGAAAUGGUCAAUCUUUCAAAAAUAUAUAACAAUUACAAAGGUAAAUGUACUAAACAACAG